rnacentral:rRNA from 1 species
CAGGGGGAUAACCGGGAGAAAUCCCGACUAAUACCGCGUAACGCCGCGGACCUGCAUGGGUCUGCGGCCAAAGGAAGCGAUUCCGGCGGGGGAUGGGCAUGCGGCGCAUUAGCUAGUCGGCGGGGUAACGGCCCACCGAGGCGACGAUGCGUAGGGGUUCUGAGAGGAAGGUCCCCCACACUGGUACUGAGACACGGACCAGACUCCUACGGGAGGCAGCAGUGAGGAAUAUUGGUCAAUGGGCGGGAGCCUGAACCAGCCAAGUCGCGUGAGGGAAGACGGUCCUACGGAUUGUAAACCUCUUUUGCCGGGGAGCAACGGGGUCCUUGCGAGGGCCCAAUGAGAGUACCCGGAGAAAAAGCAUCGGCUAACUCCGUGCCAGCAGCCGCGGUAAUACGGAGGAUGCGAGCGUUAUCCGGAUUUAUUGGGUUUAAAGGGUGCGUAGGCGGGUGUUAAGUCAGCGGUCAAAUGUCGGGGCUCAACCCCGGCCUGCCGUUGAAACUGGCGGCCUCGAGUGGGCGAGAAGUAUGCGGAAUGCGUGGUGUAGCGGUGAAAUGCAUAGAUAUCACGCAGAACUCCGAUUGCGAAGGCAGCAUACCGGCGCCCGACUGACGCUGAGGCACGAAAGCGUGGGUAUCGAACAGGAUUAGAUACCCUGGUAGUCCACGCAGUAAACGAUGAAUACUAGCUGUCCGGGGCGAAUGAGCCCUGGGUGGCACAG